rnacentral:rRNA from 1 species
AUUGAACGCUGGCGGCAGGCUUAACACAUGCAAGUCGAACGAGUGGCGGACGGGUGAGUUAUGCUUGGGAACCUAGCUUAUGGAUGGGGAUAACUACGGGAAACUGUAGCUAAUCCCGCGUACCAUAGGAUGAGCCCAUGUGGGAUUAGGUAGUUGGUGGGGUAAAGGGUCACCAAGCCGACGAUCUCUAGCUGGUCUGAGAGGAUGACCAGCCAAACUGGGACUGAGGCACGGCGCAGACGCCUACGGGAGUCAACAGUGGGGAAGAUGGCGCAAUGGGGGAAAGCUGACGCAGCCAUGCAGCGUGAAUGAAGAAGGCCUUCGGGUUGUAAAGUUCUUUCGGUAGCGAGGCGUUAACUGCAGAAGAAGCACCGGCUAACUCCGUGCCAGCCGCCGCGGUAAUUC